CGGUGGGCGGGGCUUACGGACUCGGAGCGCAUGCGUUCUGUAGUGGGAAUCCGCGGCAGGUUCUCCGGCGCUUGCGCAGGCCGAUAACAUCCGGAGGGAGGAAAAUGGGCGUGGCAAUGGGGGUGUGUGACCGUGACGGCGAAGGCAAGGUCGGAGGAAUAAAAAGAAAAGCAUUCUUCCUGAUGCUUCGCUUCCGCAUUUGCACUUUGGGCAUCAUCAACGUACGGUCCAAAGCUGGAUAUGGAUCUCUGCUUUCCACCCGUGGCUGGAAUCUCAGUCUCUCCAGGAAUUCUGCCUGUCUUAGCUUUCCAGCCCCCUAAUCAUGAGAGUACCAUGCAAGCACCAUAAAAUUUUAUAUUACAGGAUUACCAACCCCUCUCCAAAGACGAUGAUCGUUAUUGGACCUGGAACACGCCAUCGCCACUGCAGAACAAGGGCUCAUCUGAGGACCGCCCCCAUCAAUAUACAAAUGAACUUCAUCACCCCUAAUCAGCUGGAAGCAGUUACUGAAGACUAACUUUCACCCCUUCCCAAAUCCUCUACCACUUAUGAAACAGAAAAGGGAGGAAUAUAAGAAAAUAGUAAUUUAUCCUCCAUUUGCCCCAUGGUCCCAAGCACAUAAGCCAGUGAGAAUUAUGCCUGGGGCUUGCCUGGGCUUACCCCGCCUUAUCUCUAAACAUCCCGACCCUCCCCCAAGGCAACAGGCUGAGCGGAUCCACCACAAUAAAAGGCACAAUGCUCUGCACCAUGCUGCUGCCCUCUCUGUCUCUGUCUCUCUGUCCCCCUGCUCUCUCUCCCUCUCCCUCUUUCUCUGCUCUCUCUGUCCCACUGUGCGCUCUCUCUCUCUCUCUCUCUCUCUCUCCCUCCCUCCCUCCCUCCCUCUCUCUCCCUCUCUCUCUUUCUCUGCUCUC